AGCGGUUUAUUUUCAUAUUUCAUAACUUUGAUGUUUACGAAGAAGUCCGGCUACCACUCACAGGUUCUGCUCCAUGGCAGCCCUUCUAUCUAAGACACAGAAACAAGGUUGGUUCGCGUGACAACGGCGUUUUCCGUUGACUUGGCUGGGAAGACCAAAUCACAUUUGCUGGGUCAGCGACGCCUUGGAAUUGGAGAAGAUCUUCCGGCAUGGACUG
rnacentral:sRNA from 1 species